AGAAUAAUUUUAUCCUUUCUCUUUGGAAAGCAACAGAAACAUCCUCCUUCUCUUGACCACCAUGUUUUGAAUAUUUAUGAAUCCCCACAUGCACUAUGCAAAUCCUAUGAAGCCCCUGGCAACAGUGCAAAUGCCGUGAGCAGCAAUAGCUGGUACAUCAGCACUUCGAGAGCAACUCACCUCCUGAACUGAGUCCUUCUCUGCACUGCCCCAAGCCACCUUCGUUUGCUGAUGGUGUCAUUCCCCUCCCUGGCAGUCUUCUCUAGGAUCCAGAGAAGGCUUGCUCCAGGUUCCUCUACCCCUCACCAGUAGUUCCCAAAUGGUAGUCUCUGACCGCCCGCCCGUCUCCACAGAAUGCUGAGAGCUCACAAGGUCACACCAGGAAAAGAGCAACAAAUCAAACAUUUCUAGCAACUAUCUUUAAUUUAGGCAAUAACUUUGACUGGAUGAUAUGGGCUAUGUAUGAUCAAAUAUCUGAGGCAAGAUGGGUAAGAUGAAGCAAGAAGUGGUCAACAAAUCACAAUUAACCCGUUUGACAAAAGAGCAUCCACAAUAUGGAGAAAAGUGUGAGAACUGACAAAAAUUCAUUCUAACCACAGCAUUGCAGAAACUUAGGGGCAGUGGAUUGACCCUGGGACUUGGAAAUGUGUGUUUCUUUGCAAUGACUUCUAUAACUUUUGCCAGUACACUUAGCCUUUCUAAAUCACAUUUGCGUAUGCGUGAUAAAAAUCAUGAGUCACUGUUAAAA